UGGGGAAUUUUGCACAAUGGGGGAAACCCUGAUGCAGCGACGCCGCGUGAUUUAGAAGGCCUUCGGGUUGUAAAAAUCUUUUCUAUGGGAAGAAAAUGACAGUACCAUAGGAAUAAGGACCGGCUAAUUACGUGCCAGCAGCCGCAGUAAUACGUAAGGUCCGAGCGUUGUCCGGAAUCAUUGGGCGUAAAGGGUACGUAGGCGGGUAAGCAAGUUAGAAGUGAAAUCCUAUAGCUCAACUAUAGUAAGCUUUUAAAACUGCUCAUCUUGAGGUAUGGAAGGGAAAGUGGAAGUCCUAGUGUAGCGGUGAAAUGCGCAGAUAUUAGGAGGAAUACCGGUGGCGAAGGCGACUUUCUGGCCAUAACCUGACGCUGAGGUACGAAAGCGUGGGUAGCAAACAGG
rnacentral:rRNA from 1 species